rnacentral:misc_RNA from 1 species
AAGUCGUAACAAGGUUUCCGUAGGUGAACCUACGGAAGGAUCAUUAACACGUAUCCAACCGUUAAACCCCCUCCGUGAACCUUCAUCCCGUUCUUGUAACCCGCGAAGCUUGCAAUCUCUGGUAAAUCAUAGCCCGGAAAGUAGUUUGAUUCAUAUACCUCUGGCCCGUGAGAACAUUGGAACAGUUACAAUCUACUGCGGUAGUUCUAUAGGCAUUGUUUCCCCAAGCAAUCAGUGUCUGAAAGUUUCAUUGGUUUUGCAAGGAUAGCGCUUCACAAUUCCUGUAGACCGUACACUAGGGCAGGAGCUAUGCCGAAGGUUCCCCAUGCCCCCUAUAACCCUACAGUUUAAUGUAGCUCAAUGUAAUACAUUGGGUAAAAAAAUCGAACAACUGUUAACAAUGGAUAUCUUGGUUCUC